AUGGAAGCCGAGUCGAGAAAGCUCCUGCUCCUCGCGCCCAUCCUGCUCUGCUGCUUCAUGGCCAGAUCGGAGGCGCAGUCGCAGCACAUCGGCGUCAACUACGGCGAGGUGGCGGACAACCUGCCGCCGCCGGACGCGACGGCGCGGCUGCUCAAGUCCACCGCCAUCACCAAGCUCCGCCUCUACGGCGUCGACGCGGGCGUCAUCCGCGCGCUGGCCGGCACCGGCGUCUCCCUCGUGCUCGGCGUGGCCAACGGCGACAUCCCCGCCAUCGCCGCCGACCCCAACGCCGCCGCCGGCUGGCUCGCCGCCAACGUGCUGCCCUUCCUCCCGGCCUCGGCCAUCUCCGUCGUCGCCGUCGGCAACGAGGUGCUCGAGUCCGGCGACGCCGCGCUCGCCGCCGCGCUGCUCCCCGCCAUGCAGAACCUCCGCGCCGCCGCCGUCGCGGCCGGCGACGCGGCCGCCGCGGGCAUCAAGUUCUCCACCGUCAACACCAUGGCCGUGCUCGCGCAGUCCGACCCGCCCUCCACCGGCGCCUUCCGCCCGGACGCCGCCGCCCAGCUGCAGGGGAUCCUGGGAUUCCUCAGCCGCACCGGCGCGCCAUUCAUGGUCAACCCCUACCCCUACUUCGCGUACCAGUCCGACCCCAGGCCCGACACGCUCGCCUUCUGCCUCUUCCACCCCAACGCCGGGCGCCUCGACGCAGGCUCCAGGAUCACCUACGCCAACAUGUUCGACGCGCAGGUCGACGCCGUCAAGUCCGCGCUCGGCCGCGCCGGCUACGGCGCCGUCGACAUCGUGGUCGCUGAGACCGGGUGGCCCACCAGGGGCGACCCCACGGAGCAAGGCGCCACCGUCGACAACGCCAGGGCCUACGUGUCCAACCUCGUCGCGCACCUCCGGUCCGGCGCCGGCACCCCGCUCAUGCCUGGGAGGCCCGUGGACACGUACCUCUUCGCGCUCUACGACGAGGACCUCAAGCCCGGGCCGGCCUCCGAGCGCUCCUUCGGCCUCUACCACACCGACCUCACCAUGGCAUACGACGCCGGCCUGACCUCCGACGCGGCCACGACCACGCCGACGCCAACGACGCCAACUAGUCCGAGCAAGGGGUCAGGGGGAUGGUGCGUGGCGAGCGCGGGCGCGACGGACGCGCAGCUGCAGACGGACCUGGACUACGCGUGCUCCCAGGUGGGCGUGGACUGCGGCGCCAUCCAGCCCGGGGGCGCCUGCUUCCAGCCCAACACGGUGCGCGCCCACGCCGCCUACGCCAUGAACCAGCUCUACCAGGCCGCCGGCGGCCACCCCUGGAACUGCGACUUCCGGCAGUCCGCCACACUCACCUCCACCAACCCAAGCUACGGCUCGUGUGUGUUUACGGGAGGCCAAUGA
rnacentral:rRNA from 1 species